AGUGAACGCUGGCGGUAGGCCUAACACAUGCAAGUCGAACGGCAGCAUAGUAAGAGCUUGCUCUCACGGGUGGCGAGUGGCGGACGGGUGAGGUAUACACCGGAAUCUACUUUUUCGUGGGGGCUAACGUAGGGAAACUUACGCUAAUACCGCAUACGACCUACGGGUGAAAGCAGGGGAUCUUCGGACCUUGUGCGAUUGAAUGAGCCGAUGUCGGAUUAGCUAGUUGGCGGGGUCAAGGCCCACCAAGGCGACGAUCCGUAGCUGGCCUGAGAGGAUGGUCAGCCAGACUGGAUGUGAGAAACGGCCCAGACUCCUGCGGGAAGAAGCAGUGGAGAAUAUUGGGCGAUGGAGGAGAGGCGAAUCCAGCCAUACCGCGUAAGUGAAGAAGGCCUUAGGGUUGUAGAACGCUUUUGUUGGGAGGGAAGAGCAACAGGUUAAUACCCCGCUAUUCUGACGGUACCCGAAGAAUAAGCACCGGCUAACUUCGUG
rnacentral:rRNA from 1 species